AGCCCGAGAGAAUCGCGCGGAGCUCUUGCUCCGUGAGGAAAGUCCGUGCUCGCACAAGCUGUGAUGCUUGUAGUGUUCGUGCCCGGUGAAAGCCGGGGCAGCCUUUGGCUGACGGCGGGGAACAAGCCUAAGUCCGGUUGGAUAUGGCUUUACUACUCUGAAAGUGCCACAGUGACGAAGCUCUGCUGGAAACGGCGGAGGUGGAACGAGGUAAACCCCACGAGCGAGAAACCUAAAUAUUGGUCAGGGAAGCGCCGGCAGGGAAACAGAACCGCACCGGCGCCAUGGCAUAUGCCAUGAGAUAGAUGAUUCUCCAUGCUUGUGCGAGGACAGAGUCCGUUUGCAGCGCAGCAUGAACAGAACGCGGCUUACGA
rnacentral:RNase_P_RNA from 1 species